GGAGGCCAGGCAAUGAGAAGAAGCUAGAGUUCUAAGCAAGUCCAGCUCAUAAAGGCCUUUUGGCUAGCAUUCUAGAGAGCUGCAACUUCUUCCUGGGGACAAAGGAACCAUGCAGGGACAUACAUAGGACAGUGGUGUAACCUGUUCGCUACGGCGGCUACUCUGUAGAUGAGAGGGACAUUGACAGUAACCUUAGCUCCCUCUUGAUUCCCCAGGAGUGGUCUGUCUGUCCUGCUGACUUUGAACAGAAACUAGCCUUAUUUUACAACCAUCAUCCAUGUUCCCAGAAGAGUUCAAGAAAACCAUCUUUUAAAAAGAAAAUUAGGGGGAUGUCUACAUGAAGUUCAGCUGUGGGAACUGGUGAAACUUGACAUUGAUUGGCAAACAGUUGUGUGAUCCCAGCUUGGCUAGGUUGCUGGCAGGACCGGUGCUGAGAGACUGAAGAACAUGGCAACCUACAUGGAUU
rnacentral:lncRNA from 1 species